GUGAAUCAUCGAAUCUUUGAACGCAAAUUGCGCUUCCUGGUAUUCCGGGGAGUAUGCGUGUUUGAGGGUCAGUAUUAACAAAAAUGGGUUUGGCUGCAAAUUGUGUGGUUUCCGGAGUUUGGGCUUACGUUAACUUUUUUGGUUAAGGGGAUUAGGAUUGAACUUUGUUGCGGUUUUUUAGACGUACAUCAAUUUUUUUUUUAUUCGUCAAUUCUUAUU
rnacentral:misc_RNA from 1 species